UAUGAAUGGGUCCUAUUCCCUCUGUUCUGGGUCCUAUUCCCCCUGUUCUGGGUCUAUGAAUGGGUCCUAUUCCCUCUGCUCUGGGUCCUAUUCCCCCUGUUCUGGGUCUAUGAAUGGGUCCUAUUCCCUCUGCUCUGGGUCCUAUUCCCCAUGUUCUGGUUCUAUGAAUGGGUCCUAUUCCCUCUGCUCUGGGUCCUAUUCCCCAUGUUCUGGGUCUAUGAAUGGGUGCUAUUCCCUCUGCUCUGGGUCUAUGAAUGGGUCCUAUUCCCUCUGUUCUGGGUCUAUGAAUGGGUCCUAUUCCCCCUGUUCUGGGUCUAUGAAUGGGCCCUAUUCCCUCUGCUCUGGUUCUAUGAAUGGGCCCUAUUCCCUCUGCUCUGGGUCCUAUUCCCUCUGUUCUGGGUCUAUGAAUGGGUCCUAUUCCCUCUGCUCUGGGUCCUAUUCCCCCUGUUCUGGGUCUAUGAAUGAGUCCUAUUCCCUCUGCUUUGGUUCUAUGAAUGGGCCCUAUUCCCUCUGCUCUGGGUCCUAUUCCCCCUGUUCUGGGUAUGAAUGGGUCCUAUUCCCUCUGCUCUGGGUCCUAUUCCCCCUGUUCUGGGUCUAUGAAUGGGUCCUAUUCCCUCUGCUCUGGGUCCUAUUCCCCCUGUUAUGGGUCUAUGAAUGGGUCCUAUUCCCUCUGCUCUGGGUCCUAUUCCCCCUGUUCUGGGUCUAUGAAUGGGUUCUAUUCCCUCUGCUCUGGUUCUAUGAAUGGGCCCUAUUCCCUCUGCUCUGGGUCUAUGAAUGGGUCCUAUUCCCUCUGCUCUGGGUCCUAUUCCCCCUGUUCUGGGUCUAUGAAUGGGUCAUAUUCCCUCUGCUCUGGGUCCUAUUCCCCCUGUUCUGAGUCUAUGAAUGGGUCCUAUUCCCUCUGCUCUGGGUCCUAUUCCCCCUGUUCUGGGUCUAUGAAUGGGUCCUAUUCCUUCUGCUCUGGGUCCUAUUCCCCCUGUUCUGGGUCUAUGAAUGGGUCCUAUUCCCUCUGCUCUGGGUCAUAUUCCCCCUGUUCUGGGUCUAUGAAUGGGUCCUAUUACCCCUGUUCUGGUUCUGUGAAUGGGUCCUAUUCCCUCUGUUCUGGGUCUAUGAACAACACAUUCUCAGGUGAGUCGUUGACAACACAUUCUCAGGUGAGUCGUUGACAACACAUUCUCAGGUGAGUCGUUGACAACACAUUCUCAGGUGAGUCGUUGACAACACAUUCUCAGGUGAGUCGUUGACAACACAUUCUCAGGUGAGUCGUUGACAACACAUUCUCAGGUGAGUCGUUGACAACACAUUCUCAGGUGAGUCGUUGACAACACAUUCUCAGGCGAG